rnacentral:sRNA from 1 species
UCCGUAGGUGAACCUGCGGAAGGAUCAUUACCGAGUGCAGGUCUGCCCCCGGGCAGGCCUAACCUCCCACCCGUGAAUACCUGACCAACGUUGCUUCGGCGGUGCGCCCCCCCGGGGGUAGCCGCCGGAGACCACACCGAACCUCCUGUCUUUAGUGUUGUCUGAGCUUGAUAGCAAACCUAUUAAAACUUUCAACAAUGGAUCUCUUGGUUCCGGCAUCGAUGAAGAACGCAGCGAACUGCGAUAAGUAAUGUGAAUUGCAGAAUUCAGUGAAUCAUCGAGUCUUUGAACGCACAUUGCGCCCCCUGGCAUUCCGGGGGGCAUGCCUGUCCGAGCGUCAUUGCUGCCCUUCAAGCCCGGCUUGUGUGUUGGGUCGUCGUCCCCCCCGGGGGACGGGCCCGAAAGGCAGCGGCGGCACCGCGUCCGGUCCUCGAGCGUAUGGGGCUUUGUCACCCGCUCGAUUAGGGCCGGCCGGGCGCCAGCCGGCGUCUCCAACCUUCUAUUUUACCAGGUUGACCUCGGAUCAGGUAGGGAUACCCGCUGAACUUAAGCAUAUCAAUAAGCGGAGGAAAAGA